CUACAGCUUCUGCUGAGGCAAGUCAGCACUGUCCCUAGCUUCUGGUGUAACAACACCAAACAUCUCAUCAAACUUUUUCUGUACCCCCAUGUUUCCCAUGAAUUGUCACUUAAAUUGAGUACAGAGUUGAUUUGUUAUUUGCAUUUUUAAUAUAUUUUAUCUGUAUUAAUCUUUCAAAUGUUAAUAUUUAGUGCUAAAGGAUUCCCCUUAACUCUCUUGGAGUAGGCCCCCUCAAAAUUGUAGGCCCAUGUCAACUGGCCCCACUGCCUUCCCUGCACCCACCCCUUCUGACUUGUGCAUUGUCACCAUCAAGAAUUCCUCUGGCUCCUUCACAGUGUUGUUGAAUGUUUCAAUAGUGGAAUCGAAACAUGGAAAUUCUUUAAUUACAACAUGGCAACUAGCAAGUAAAUGCAAAUCAGAGAAUCUCCCAACCCACUGGCGACCCUUUUUCAAACAAUCAUCCCACCCAAUCACAAAAUAUUUAAAUUCCACAUGGCAUUUCAAUAAAGCAUCACUAGAACAUAUAUGCACAAACUAAAUAAAUAUUGGGGUUCCCUCUAUAACGACACUCAAGAAAGCAGAGAGGUUAUGCUUUUCAGGUACACUGAAAACAAAAGACAAAAAAUGGGGUUGGGCUAUGAUGGUACCAACCACAUCACAUUAAUGUCCUGCAUGUCAGGGAAACUCCUGAUUAUUUUGCCUAUGUGCAGAGGAAAUGCACCACAUAAAGUGACUCCCACAACAGCAAAAUCGUGCAGAAAAGACAAAAAUGUGGAAACUGAAGCCAAAUCCAAUCCUCUCAGUUUGACUAUUCAGGAAAUCAAGGAUAAGCAGAGCAUGCAGAAGAGGCCCUUAUCUCCUAGCAACAAAUUAGCUCUUCAGGCUAAGCUGGGACUUUUCAGUGCAUUCCUUGUAAGGGCUGACUCCUCCUUUCCCUCUUUUUCCUUUUAAAGUCUCCCAGAAAUCUGUGUUCCAACCUGCAUUCUGAGAAACAGGAGGCAGCAUGGGAGGAAACCUGUGACUGUGAGCAAGAAUCAAAGAGUCCCUGCUACUCUCUUGGAGGUAAGAGCGAUGAAGAGGAAACAGGGGAAGCUAGGAAAGAAAUCCGUGAAAGGCUUGAAGACAAAUUUGGGUUUGCCUCACAACAAUAUGGAAAAUGGCCCUAAAAACAACCCUGUUGCUUAGUGAUACUAUGUGUCAUAAAUAAUGGCAUGGAAAUCCCUGACCCGGAUGGUCCAAGCUAGCCCAAUCUCAUCAGAUGUUGGAAGCUAAAGCAGCACUAGCCCUGAUGGGUGCUAUGGGAGAUCACCAAGGGGGACUGGGGUUGUUUCACAGAAGGAGGUAAUGACAAACCAUCUCUGUUCAUCUCUGGCCUUGGAAACCCUUUCAGUCACCCUAAGUUGGCUGUGACUUAAUAGCACAUUCCUCCAACAAUCAUAAAAAAUAAAAUAUAAAUUUCUUCAGUGUUAACCAGUGUUAGAGACCUUCAUUUUAUUUUGAGGAGGGGGAAUACAUCACAGAAUUGCUUGGUAAGAGGGCCCCAAAUCAUAGCAUAUUAGAAGAACAUCCUAUUUUGAAAGGUUUGUAUACCAUUAGUACAUUGGGUGUGAUUCUAACAUACUACCACCUCUAUCUUUGAGGGACUGCAGAUAAUGCAAGGAGUCGGGGAAAUGGAGUUUAAUGGAGGCUGUUAACCUAAGUAGGCAGUCUCCACUUUUGUUGGGGGAAUUAGCUGGACACAAGGAGUGAGAGGGUAACAGGAAUCUAUAACCUAUGUAUACCAGGAUAGUCCUGGGUGAAAACUCUCAAAUGAGCAGGUGGUUAAUUAAUAAGAUUUUCAUUAAUAAUAAAAUAAUUAAAAAUG